CGGAAACGAGUCAUUGUUUGACUCGGCGUUUUGGUUGCUCAUAUUUUUGGUGUUAUUCGAACACGUAAGUUAGUUAGUUUAGGGACUUUCGGUCUAAGUCAGGCAUUUUUGGAUUUUUUUUUAAAUGUGCAGGAGACGACCACUGUCCAGGAACGUUGUCUCCGCGUCGGCUGCUGGCUGUCUGCGUGCAAAAGUGGCGACGUGUUGUGCAAAGAAGCAUCACUGGCGUAAAAGAUCAACAGUACUUGAGCCUGUCAACUGUCUUCCCUGAGUGGAUGCCGAUUCAGGUUCUCCGGGGCGAACAGCCGCUUUGGCGCCGCCUAAUGGACACGAGCAGAAAGACAACAUUAGUACAGGAUGUUAAAUGUACCUUUUUAAACUGUCCAGCGAGACAUUCGUCCCGGUGCAGCUUUGGGGGAACCUGCAAAAGAGAAAAUGUGUUAAAAAUGGUCACGUCAGCCAUUUUGCUUUGCAGCGUGCUCAAACCCAGCAGACACCAACAGCCUCAUUCGCUGUUGUCUUGUUCCUCAGGCAGCUCUGCAUGAAGUCAGGAUGUCGUUUAACCUGCGCACACACAAAAAAGAUGUCAGAAAAGAGUGAAUUGUUGUUCUUUAUGUUGUCCUUACCUUCCUUCAGUUUCGUCCAGGAGCAAAACAGCAACUUGAAACCGGACUCUCAUCUUUCUUUUUCCAAGACGUCUGUGGAGCGCAGUUUGCAAUGAGGUAGUGUACGGCACUAAAUUCUGAAAUCUUCCCCCUA